CGCCCUUCCAGAGGGGGACAACAGUUGGAAACGACUGCUAAUACCGCAUACGAUCCAACUUCGGCAUCGAGGAUGGAUGAAAGGUGGCCUCUAUUUAUAAGCUAUCACUGAAGGAGGGGAUUGCGUCUGAUUAGCUAGUUGGAGGGGUAACGGCCCACCAAGGCAAUGAUCAGUAGCCGGUCUGAGAGGAUGAACGGCCACAUUGGGACUGAGACACGGCCCAG
rnacentral:rRNA from 1 species